AAAAGGGAUCAUUAAGAUCCACACCAAGAACAGCUGUUGAGGGCAUCAUUACUGGCAGAAUCUGCAGGAGAGUUGAGAUUGAGAACUGUAGAAUCGGCUCUUGGAGGGUGAAGAUCCAAUGGAAAAGUUACAAGUUCAGCAGAAGGGAUCAAAGCAGUUGGCUUGGUGAUUUUGGAGGUAACAUCUUCUUCAUUAUGAUUCAUAAAGCUCUCAGUCUUCUUUUCAAUUGGGUUUUCUACGUUAGAAAAAGCGAUUCCUGGAGUGAAAAAGAAGCUAAUCUGGUAGUUUUGCUUUAA